UAACAAAAUGUUCUUCCUUUAGUUUGCUUUUGCACUUAAAAUAUAUAUAAUUGACUUUUUGGGAAAAAAAUCUGAGAUUCACUGCUUUGUUUUGUAAAGACCAAUAGCUUCUGUAUAGUCUUUUUUUAAAUUGUGGUAAAACAUACACGGCAUUAAUUUACCAUUUUAACCAUUUUAAAGUGCACAAUUUGUGGCAUUAAGUACACUCACAUUGUUGUGCAACCAUCACCACCGUCCAUCUUCAGAACCUUUUUAUAUUCCCAAACUGAAACUCUGUACUCGUUAAGCACUUACUUCCGGUUUCCCCAUCCCCCAGCCCCUAGCAACCACAACUGUACUUUCUAUGAAUUUGACUACUCUAGGUACUGCAUGUAGGUGGAAUCAUACAGUAUUUGUCUUUUGUUUUGCUUUGUUUUGUUUUUUGUUUUCUAAGACAGGGUCUUACUCUGUCGCCCAGGCUGGAGUGCAGUGGUGCAAUCACAGUGUCCUUUUGUGACUGGUUUAUUUCACUUAGCGCAAUGUUUUCAAGGUUCAUCCAUGUUGUUGCAUGUCUCAGAACUUCCUUUUUUGGGCUAAUAUUCUUGCAUAUAUUUACCCAGUUUUGCUUAUCCAUUCAGCUACUGAUGGACACUUGGGUUGCUUCCAUCUUUUGGCUAUUGUGAAUAAUGCUGUUUUGAACGUGGGUGUGCUACAUAGUUACUUUUUAAAAUUGGCACAACAGCCCUGUCUUUUGACAUACAUAUUUUAUGGAAAACACAAGAUUUUUCUGGCUGACGCUCAACCUCAUAAUUUGGACCUUGGUGCAACACAAUAAUAGGAGAGCUAUUUGUCAGUAUAUAUCACUAAGGAUUACAAUGAGAGUAUAUACAGUCAGUAUUUCAAAUUAUAAAAAGAAAUGUAGGCCAGGCGCGGUGCCUCACACCUGUAAUCCCAGCACUUUGGGAGACCAAGGUGGGUGGAUUACCUGAGGUUAGGAGUUCGAAACCAGCCUAGCCAACAUGGUGAAAACCUGUAUCUACUAAAAAUACAAAAAUUAGCCAGGCGUGGUGGCGCAUGCCUGUAAUCCCAGCUACUCGGGAGGCUGAGACAGGAGAAUUGCUUGAACCUUGGAGGCAGAGGUCGCACUGAGCCAAGAUUGUGCCACUGUACUCCAGCCUGGGCAACAGAGCAAGACUCUUUUUCAAUAAAUAAAUAAAUAAAAGAAAUGUAAUGAAAGAGAGAGAACUCUGAACUUUUAAAGAACUUUUCACCCAGUCUUGAUCUACCUGAUAGAAAGGCUUGUCAGAGAAAGUUAGAGUUCAGAGGCAGCCAAUUGAAUAUAAUUAACUCCAAAUGAAGAUAAACCUUUUCUAAAUCAUAACUGAAGGCUAUAAAAAAAUGAGAAUUAUAUAUAUAUAUUUUUUGAGACAGGGUCUUACUCUAUUGCCCAGGCUCGAGUGCAGUGGCAUGAUCUGGGCUCACUGAAGCCUUGACCUCCUUGGCUCAGGUGAUCCUCCCACCUCAGCCUCCUGAGUAGCUGGGACUACAGCUUUCAGUUACCAGAGAUCAACUGCGGUUUUAAAAUAUUAUGUGGAAAAUUCCAGAAAUACAUAGUAAGUUUUCAAUUGCAUGCCAUUAAAUCUCAUGCUGUCCCUGCCCCCUUCCUCUCUGGAGGUGAAUUAUCCCUUUGUCCAGUGGCUCCACGAUAACUACAUUCCCCAAGUUGUUCUCUUAGGAACCCUUUCUGGGUUCAAGGAACCCUUACUUUACUUAAUUAUGGCCCCAAAGCACAAGAUAGGGAUGCUGGCAUACUGUUAUAAUUGUUCUAUUUUAGUAUUAGUUAUUGUUGUUAAUCUCUACCUGUGACUAAUUUAUGAAUUCAACUUUAUCAUAGGUAUGUAGGUAUAGGAAAAAAACAUGGUAUGUAUAAGGUUCAGUACUAUCUGCAGUUUCAGACAUCCCCUGGGGGUCUUGGAACAUAUCCCCCGUGGAUAAGGGGGAACUACUGUAAAAGUUUGUGUUUUAUAGAGUAGUUGUGAGAACUACAUUAAUCCAUAAUGUGUGGCUCAUGAUACUCAUUGAUAGAUGGUAGUUGCAACAAUAAAAAGUAGUAUUAUC
rnacentral:antisense_RNA from 1 species